UCAACCCUCAAGCCCGGCUUGUUGUUGGACUCGGUGAGGUCAUCCUCACCGGCCUCAAAGAUAAUGACGGUGUCUGGAGGACCCUCGGUACAAUGAGCUUUCUAAGCACGUACUGAAGUGGACUUCGAGGCCCGGUCUCUUUUAACUAUUUACAAGG
rnacentral:misc_RNA from 1 species